rnacentral:rRNA from 1 species
UAAGUAAGUGGUGGAAAUUAAACCAAAUGGGAUAUCUUUAGUAAUUGCGAAUGAACAAGGAUAUGCUUAGCUUGACAAAUGGAGCUAUUGGCUUUGAAUUGUAUUUGUGGAAUGUAUUACCAACAGAGGUGCAGGUGCCAGCCUAUUAAAUAAAGCGUCAAUGAGGGUGAGAAUCCUGUUUGUCAUGUGCAGCCCUUUGUGCACGGUGUAUAUUUGCCGAGUCACACUCCUUGGCAUUGGAAUGCAAAGUGGGUGGUAAGUUUCAUGUACAGGUAAACAUGCAAUUGAGACUGAUAGCACACAAGUACCAUGAGGGAAAUAUGAAAAGGACUUUGAAAAGAGAAUUAAAUGAGUUUGUAUUUGCUGAACACAAAGUAAACAGACUUGAUUUGCUUGGUGGGAGUGUUGCACUUGCUUGACAAGAGCUUUGGGCUGUGGGUGUAAUGAUUCUUUCUUUGCAUGCCAGUUUCUAUGUGUACAUCUGAUUACCUUUGCACAUGAAUGAUAAGUCUCCUGUGGGGGGUGGAUUGCAUGUGCAUGUAAUGAUUUGUGUUUUGAUAAAUGUGUCUGGUGUAUGUGUGUGUGUUCCUGUGCUUGGGGAUGCUUCCUUCCUUGGACUUACAAGCCCUGACACACACAUGCUGGCAAAAUGCUUCUGCUUGACCCG